rnacentral:rRNA from 1 species
UACGUAGGGUGCAAGCGUUAAUCGGAAUUACUGGGCGUAAAGCGUGCGCAGGCGUUAUGUAAGACAGAUGUGAAAUGCCCGGGCUUAACCUGGGAACUGCAUUUGUGACUGCAUGGCUAGAGUUUGGCAGAGGGGGGUAGAAUUCCACGUGUAGCAGUGAAAUGCGUAGAUAUGUGGAGGAACACCGAUGGCGAAGGCAGCCCCCUGGGUCAAGACUGACGCUCAUGCACGAAAGCGUGGGGAGCAAC